AUGUUAACGUAUGAUACGUUAACAUCGGUUUUUUAAAAACCGAUGUUAACGUGUAUGCAUUAACAU
rfam:Glycine soja cultivar W05 scaffold4051_12, whole genome shotgun sequence.